UGCUUUCUUUGAUUUUGCUCAUUUCAUUGUUUAGUCCUCAAAUAAGGAAUUGAGAUUCACAGAGGUUGUCACUUGUCUAAAGCCCAGAUCCAAACCAGGCCGUGUCUCUCUCCAAAUCCCGGGCUCAGAACCAUCAUGCUGUCAUUGCAGGAGCCUCUGAGACUCAAGAAACUGGGUCUGGAGAAGCGUGGGACAACUGAGUGCUCUCUCUGAUGUCUCACUUCAGCCAGUAAGAGACACUCCACGGAGUACAGGCUUUUAUCCAGGGCAAGGUCACCAAGGGGUUGAAGCCCCAAUUUCAUUGAGAACACAUCAAGGACAGAGCAAGUGCCCAGGAAAACCAAAGCAGGUGUUUCCUGGCCCCACAGCCCCAGAAACAAUGUCCUAAAGGAAGUGGUGGAAAGGGCCCAGCCCGCUGGCAACUUACAGAGUUUUCUGGUGCUUCCCAGCCUUACAGGG